GACGAACGCUGGCGGCGUGCUUAACACAUGCAAGUCGAACGGAAAGGCCCUGCUUUUGUGGGGUGCUCGAGUGGCGAACGGGUGUGUAACAUGUGUGUAACCUGCCUUUGACUUUGGUAUAACUUCGGGAAACUGGGGCUAAUACCGGAUAGGAGCUCCUGCUGCAUGGUGGGGGUUGGAAAGUUUCGGCGGUUGGGGAUGGACUCGCGGCUUGUCAGUUGGUUGGUGGGGUAGUGGCUGAUCAAGGGUUUGACGGGUAGGCGGCCUGGGAGGGUGACCGGCCAAAUUGGGACUGAGCUACGGCACAGACUCCUACGGGAGGCAGGAGUGGGGGAGAUUGCACAAUGGGCGGAAGCCUCAUGCAGCAACGCCGCGUGCGGGAUGACGGCCUUCUGGUUGUAAACCGUUUUCGCCUGUGCCGAAGCGUGAGUGACGGUAAUGGGUAAAGAAGCACCGGCUAACUCCGUG
rnacentral:rRNA from 1 species